CAUUGUUCCAUGUAUGAAUAAUCCUUCUUCAUAGAUAUUGCUCAACUCGUGAUAACCUACACUGUAUUUCAGGACCUGAGUGAAAGGAGAAGAUGGGGAAAGGAGAAGACAAGUCAUACAAACAAGUGCAGGCACCAGAGGGAACCUGUCUCUGAUCUCAUGGAAAAAGCAGUCCCUUGGGAGAGAAGAUGCCCCUGUUCUGAUCCCUGUAUCCCAAGGACCAGUCCAUGCACAUUCCGCUACCAUGACAGAGUAGGAGAUGACAAGCACCACCCUGAGCAUCCUUGGAAAAAAUCAUCCCUGGAAUCAAUCUGGUAUUUGUCGUCUUUUCUUCUGGAGUUCCCCAGCAAGCCACAACUGGACAACUUGUUCUAGAGACAGGAAACUGAGUCUGGAUGUGAUGGAGGAUGCUUGCACCCAUCUCAGCAAAGGGGCAUCAGCUUUGUACAGCUGUUUCCUCAACGGACUCAGGGAGAAGGAGUUUCACUCCUUACAGCCUUUUACUUUUUGGCCCUGGUAGCUGUGAUUCCAAGCCAUAAAGGCCUUUGCCACUGGUAAUAACAAGCUCUCUAAUAGAGAGG
rnacentral:lncRNA from 1 species